rnacentral:rRNA from 1 species
GAGUUUGAUCGUGGCUCAGGACGAACGCUGGCGGCGUGCCUAAUACAUGCAAGUCGAGCGGAUCUUCAUUAGCUUGCUUUUGAAGAUCAGCGGCGGACGGGUGAGUAACACGUGGGCAACCUGCCUGUAAGACUGGGAUAACUUCGGGAAACCGGAGCUAAUACCGGAUAAUCCUUUUCCUCUCAUGAGGAAAAGCUGAAAGACGGUUUCGGCUGUCACUUACAGAUGGGCCCGCGGCGCAUUAGCUAGUUGGUGAGGUAACGGCUCACCAAGGCGACGAUGCGUAGCCGACCUGAGAGGGUGAUCGGCCACACUGGGACUGAGACACGGCCCUGACUCCUACGGGAGGCAGCAGUAGGGAAUCUUCCGCAAUGGACGAAAGUCUGACGGAGCAACGCCGCGUGAGCGAUGAAGGCCUGGUCGUAAGCUCUGUGUCAGGGAAGACAAGUAUCGGAGUAACUGCCGGUA